UACGAAGGGGGCUAGCGUUGUUCGGAAUUACUGGGCGUAAAGCGCACGUAGGCGGACAUUUAAGUCAGGGGUGAAAUCCCGGGGCUCAACCCCGGAACUGCCUUUGAUACUGGGUAUCUUGAGUGUGGUAGAGGUGAGUGGAAUUGCGAGUGUAGAGGUGAAAUUCGUAGAUAUUCGCAGGAACACCAGUGGCGAAGGCGGCUCACUGGACCACAACUGACGCUGAGGUGCGAAAGCGUGGGGGAGCAAACAGG
rnacentral:rRNA from 1 species